rnacentral:rRNA from 1 species
UACGAAGGGUGCAAACGUUGCUCGGAAUCAUUGGGCGUAAAGCGCACGUAGGCGGCUCCAAAAGUCGGAUGUGAAAUCCCUGGGCUCAACCGAGGAAGUGCAUCCGAAACUGCGGAGCUUGAGUAUGGAAGAGGGUCGCGGAAUUCCCGGUGUAGAGGUGAAAUUCGUAGAUAUCGGGAGGAACACCAGUGGCGAAGGCGGCGACCUGGGCCAAUACUGACGCUGAGGUGCGAAAGCGUGGGGAGCAAACCGG